rnacentral:ribozyme from 1 species
UGCCCAGCAACUCCUAUCCCUACCUCCUCGUGGUACAGGCCGGAAACUACGAGCAACAUUAGGGAAGAUCGAGUUACCAACCCCGGUGGGAACUUUAGUCGUUGGCUGACAGGGAUGG